CCUACGGGGGGCAGCAGUGGGGAAUAUUGGACAAUGGGGGGAACCCUGAUCCAGCCAUGCCGCGUGUGUGAAGAAGGCCCUCGGGUUGUAAAGCACUUUCAGUGAGGAAGAACGCCUGGUGGUUAAUACCCAUCAGGAAAGACAUCACUCACAGAAGAAGCACCGGCUAACUCCGUGCCAGCAGCCGCGGUAAUACGGAGGGUGCGAGCGUUAAUCGGAAUUACUGGGCGUAAAGCGCGCGUAGGUGGCUUGAUAAGUCGGUUGUGAAAGCCCCGGGCUCAACCUGGGAACGGCAUCCGGAACUGUCAAGCUAGAGUGCAGGAGAGGAAGGUAGAAUUCCCGGUGUAGCGGUGAAAUGCGUAGAGAUCGGGAGGAAUACCAGUGGCGAAGGCGGCCUUCUGGACUGACACUGACACUGAGGUGCGAAAGCGUGGGUAGCAAACAGGAUUGGAUACCCCAGUAGUC
rnacentral:rRNA from 1 species